rnacentral:rRNA from 1 species
UGCCAGCCGCCGCGGUAAUACGUAAGGUGCGAACGUUGUUCGAAAUCACUGGGCGUAAAGGGUACGCAGGCGGUCAAAUAAGUUAGUGGUGAAAUUCCGGAGCUCAACUCCGGAGCUGCCAUUGAUACUGUUUGACUUGAGUCGUAAUAUGGGUGGUAGGAAUUCCUGGUGUAGGAGUGAAAUCUGUAGAUAUCAGGAGGAACACCGAUAGCGAAGGCAAACCACUGGGUAACGACUGACGCUAAUGUACGAAAGCUAGGGGAGCAAAUGGGAUUAGAUA